AUGUAGGAAAUGUAGAAGGUGAAGAAGGAAGAUAACCUUCAACUUUCUAGCCACCUCCUUGGCAUGUAAAAUGCAAGCCAGUUUUGACUGAGCAUAAGCACGCGUGCCAUUGUAUCUGCAGAAUUCCCGAACAGAAAGAAAAUAGUCUAGAAGGGUGCAAGUUUUUUUAACUUGUUUGGGUUGAGCAAGUGAAUGAAGCAGAGAUCUUCCCUCUUCACCCAGUAGUGGACAACAGAAGAGACGUUUAUAAUUCUUCCUUGGAUGCCUGUUCUCUUUGAUGUUUCUAUCAAUUUGUCUAAAAGCAGUUCUGUCAGAAGGUAAUGUCCUGCAGGAACAAAGAUACACACAGAUUGAAACACUGCAAAUUAUCUUGUUUGAACAAAUUGUAUAGACAAAACAACAGUUUGAAACGCAUUAUUUUGUAUCCUUUUUUAUGUUAAAUUUGACAAAACUUCACUCUUUUUUAGCCA